AGGGCGUAUGGGGAAUGCCUAGGCACACUCCGGCGAAGAAGGACGCAGCAAACAGCGAAAUGCGACGGUGAGCGGUAAGCACGUGAAGAGCCGUCGAUAUCCGAAUGGGGGAACCCACACGGAGUCAUAUCCGUGUAUCACAUGUCGAAUACAUAGACAUGAUGAGGCGAGACGCAGGGAACUGAAACAUCUAAGUACCUGCAGGAAGAGAAAAUAAGAAUGAUUUUCUGAGUAGCGGCGAGCGAAAGGGAAAGAGCCCAAACCGAUUUUAGGAUCGGGGUAGUAGGAUCAUCGAUAAAUCAAACAGAGGAUCAUAGAGGAAUCACAUGGGAAGGUGAGCGAGAGAGGGUGAGAGCCCCGUACUCGAAAUGAGAGACUGGAGAGAGAUGACACCUGAGUAGGGCGGGACACGAGAAAUCCUGUCUGAAUCAGCCGGGACCAUCCGGCAAGGCUAAAUACGAGAGAGUGACCGAUAGUGAACCAGUACCGUGAGGGAAAGGCGAAAAGAACCCCGGCGAGGGGAGUGAAAAAGAACCUGAAACCGUGUACGUACAAGCAGUGGGAGCCUCUUAAUGGGGUGACUGCGUACCUUUUGUAUAAUGGGUCAGCGACUUAUAUUCUGUAGCAAGGUUAACCGAAUAGGGGAGCCGAAGGGAAACCGAGUCUUAACUGGGCGUUAAGUUGCAGGGUAUAGACCCGAAACCCGGUGAUCUAGCCAUGGGCAGGUUGAAGGUUGGGUAACACUAACUGGAGGACCGAACCGACUAAUGUUGAAAAAUUAGCGGAUGACUUGUGGCUGGGGGUGAAAGGCCAAUCAAACCGGGAGAUAGCUGGUUCUCCCCGAAAGCUAUUUAGGUAGCGCCUCGUGAAUUCAUCUCCGGGGGUAGAGCACUGUUUCGGCAAGGGGGUCAUCCCGACUUACCAACCCGAUGCAAACUGCGAAUACCGGAGAAUGUUAUCACGGGAGACACACGGCGGGUGCUAACGUCCGUCGUGAAGAGGGAAACAACCCAGACCGCCAGCUAAGGUCCCAAAGUCAUGGUUAAGUGGGAAACGAUGUGGGAAGGCCCAGACAGCCAGGAUGUUGGCUUAGAAGCAGCCAUCAUUUAAAGAAAGCGUAAUAGCUCACUGGUCGAGUCGGCCUGCGCGGAAGAUGUAACGGGGCUAAACCAUGCACCGAAGCUGCGGCAGCGACACUAUGUGUUGUUGGGUAGGGGAGCGUUCUGUAAGCCUGCGAAGGUGUACUGUGAGGUAUGCUGGAGGUAUCAGAAGUGCGAAUGCUGACAUAAGUAACGAUAAAGCGGGUGAAAAGCCCGCUCGCCGGAAGACCAAGGGUUCCUGUCCAACGUUAAUCGGGGCAGGGUGAGUCGACCCCUAAGGCGAGGCCGAAAGGCGUAGUCGAUGGGAAACAGGUUAAUAUUCCUGUACUUGGUGUUACUGCGAAGGGGGGACGGAGAAGGCUAUGUUGGCCGGGCGACGGUUGUCCCGGUUUAAGCGUGUAGGCUGGUUUUCCAGGCAAAUCCGGAAAAUCAAGGCUGAGGCGUGAUGACGAGGCACUACGGUGCUGAAGCAACAAAUGCCCUGCUUCCAGGAAAAGCCUCUAAGCAUCAGGUAACAUCAAAUCGUACCCCAAACCGACACAGGUGGUCAGGUAGAGAAUACCAAGGCGCUUGAGAGAACUCGGGUGAAGGAACUAGGCAAAAUGGUGCCGUAACUUCGGGAGAAGGCACGCUGAUAUGUAGGUGAAGUCCCUCGCGGAUGGAGCUGAAAUCAGUCGAAGAUACCAGCUGGCUGCAACUGUUUAUUAAAAACACAGCACUGUGCAAACACGAAAGUGGACGUAUACGGUGUGACGCCUGCCCGGUGCCGGAAGGUUAAUUGAUGGGGUUAGCGCAAGCGAAGCUCUUGAUCGAAGCCCCGGUAAACGGCGGCCGUAACUAUAACGGUCCUAAGGUAGCGAAAUUCCUUGUCGGGUAAGUUCCGACCUGCACGAAUGGCGUAAUGAUGGCCAGGCUGUCUCCACCCGAGACUCAGUGAAAUUGAACUCGCUGUGAAGAUGCAGUGUACCCGCGGCAAGACGGAAAGACCCCGUGAACCUUUACUAUAGCUUGACACUGAACAUUGAGCCUUGAUGUGUAGGAUAGGUGGGAGGCUUUGAAGUGUGGACGCCAGUCUGCAUGGAGCCGACCUUGAAAUACCACCCUUUAAUGUUUGAUGUUCUAACGUUGGCCCCUGAUCGGGGUUGCGGACAGUGUCUGGUGGGUAGUUUGACUGGGGCGGUCUCCUCCUAAAGAGUAACGGAGGAGCACGAAGGUUGGCUAAUCCUGGUCGGACAUCAGGAGGUUAGUGCAAUGGCAUAAGCCAGCUUGACUGCGAGCGUGACGGCGCGAGCAGGUGCGAAAGCAGGUCAUAGUGAUCCGGUGGUUCUGAAUGGAAGGGCCAUCGCUCAACGGAUAAAAGGUACUCCGGGGAUAACAGGCUGAUACCGCCCAAGAGUUCAUAUCGACGGCGGUGUUUGGCACCUCGAUGUCGGCUCAUCACAUCCUGGGGCUGAAGUAGGUCCCAAGGGUAUGGCUGUUCGCCAUUUAAAGUGGUACGCGAGCUGGGUUUAGAACGUCGUGAGACAGUUCGGUCCCUAUCUGCCGUGGGCGCUGGAGAACUGAGGGGGGCUGCUCCUAGUACGAGAGGACCGGAGUGGACGCAUCACUGGUGUUCGGGUUGUCAUGCCAAUGGCACUGCCCGGUAGCUAAAUGCGGAAGAGAUAAGUGCUGAAAGCAUCUAAGCACGAAACUUGCCCCGAGAUGAGUUCU
rnacentral:rRNA from 1 species